rnacentral:rRNA from 1 species
CUACGGGGUGCACCAGUGGGGAAUAUUGCACAAUGGGCGCAAGCCUGAUGCAGCCAUGCCGCGUGUAUGAAGGAGGCCUUCGGGUUGUAAAGUACUUUCAGCGGGGAGGAAGGGAGUAAAGUUAAUACCUUUGCUCAUUGACGUUACCCGCAGAAGAAGCACCGGCUAACUCCGUGCCAGCAGCCGCGGUAAUACGGAGGGUGCAAGCGUUAAUCGGAAUUACUGGGCGUAAAGCGCACGCAGGCGGUUUGUUAAGUCAGAUGUGAAAUCCCCGGGCUCAACCUAGGAACUGCAUCUGAUACUGGCAAGCUUGAGUCUCGUAGAGGGGGGUAGAAUUCCAGGUGUAGCGGUGAAAUGCGUAGAGAUCUAGAGGAAUACCGGUGGCGAAGGCGGCCCCCUGGACGAAGACUGACGCUCAGGUGCGAAAGCGUGGGGAGCAAACAGGAUUAGAUACCCGAGUAGUC